ACAUGCAUCACCAGUCCUUCUAGAGAUUGUUGGGGAACAACAGUGCCUUUUCUCUUUCCUCACUCAGGUCUUGCUAGUCCUUUGGAGACUUAGAAAAGCUGAGGAAGAACCACCUAGCUCACCCUAUCCCCCAGGUUGAUCAAGCCCAACUGAUGGAGAAAGGAAGCACCUCGACUGUCUCAGUUUGGACACUUAUAUGCUUUGGCUGUGUCCCCACCCAAAUCUCACCUUGAAAGCAAUUCUCCUUGCUGCUGCCAUAUGAAGAAGGACAUGUAUGCUUCCCAUUCCACC